rnacentral:rRNA from 1 species
CAGCAGCCGCGGGAAUACGGAGGGAGCUAGCGUUGUUCGGAAUUACUGGGCGUAAAGCCCGCGUAGGCGGUUACUCAAGUCAGAGGUGAAAGCCCGGGGCUCAACCCCGGAACUGCAUCCGAUACUGCCAUGCUAGAGGACUGGAGAGGCAACUGGAAUUCUCGGUGUAGCGGUGAAAUGCGUAGAGAUCGGGAGGAACAUCAGUGGCGAAGGCGGCCAUCUGGGACAACACUGACGCUGAGGCACGAAAGCGUGGGGAGCAAACAGGAUUAGAGACCCGUGUAGUCCCUGUCUCUUAUAC